AAACCACAAAUGGAAAAUGACAUACAAAUAGAUAAGUUAUAGAACAUGCAGCAUGUAUAAUUAUAUUAAAAAAAUCACCUUUGGAAACUACGAUAUAUAUUAUAGAACCACGCUAUCAUUCUAAGGUAAACAAACUGUCUUAAGGGUUUAAGUUACAAGUGGGAUAGUUUUGCUCAUAUUCCUAGCUCACCUCAAAACACAUACAAUUGAUAUCCCAUGUACUCUCUCCAAUAAGUGUUCUGCUAUUGGAACAGAGCUUCCGUCUAGGUCAAUAUAAAUAGUACGGUCAAGAUAGAAAAAGAAAAUCAUCAAAAAAAAUAGUUCAUCUUUUAGAGUAGGAGGCCGACGUCUAUUUUGACUUUAUGACUAGCUUGUGUUAUAUCACACUCAAUGCCUGAUGCCCUUGAAGGUCAAAAAAGAUAAUAAAUAAUGAAGCUUGAACUCACCAUGAAAUAUGAACUCUAAUAACAUGUAAAUGUCAGGUACCUAUAAAGUUAUAUCAUGAUUCAUAACGUCUUAAAGUAAGCCGAUUUGGGCUUAACUAGAUAGGUUUGGACAUACUAAAAGAUUUCUUACCUUUUUUCAUAACAAGUGAGGGUGCUCCGACUCUUUUCCCAUGCAAGAUAGAAAAUAAGAACAACUAGAAAUAUGCAAAUGAUCAAUUUUUUUCAUUUCCCUUAACUGGACAAGGACUGAUGAGUUACUGUAGGCAUAUCUAAAAUGAAACCGGUAAUAUCUCUAUUCAAUUUGAUAGAAGUCUAUACAUAUGUAUAUUUUUUUACUUCUAUAUUUACUAAUGAUGUGGAUGAAGUAGGUUCAUCUUCUAUCUAGGUAACAUGAAAUUCACCUCCUUUUUUCUUGUUGCUAUCAAGACUAAAUAUCAAAACUUGAAUAGAUACUAAAUUGACCUCUAUGUGUGACAAAUGUUCACAAAAUUGUUCCAAGUGCACCAUUAUAACAUGUUAGCGUUGAAGAGUUGAUAACAUUUUCUUACCGCAUACACUUUAGCAAUCAGUCUCUCAUAACCUCCUAUCUCACUCCUCUAUAGCAUCUUUAUAUCACCCCUACUCCUAUGUUUAGGCAAUUUGACAUAUUCCAUCUCUUUCUAAUGAGAAGUUGUCUGUAUAUAUUCGGCCUGUGUAAUUUAAGCUUCAUUAUCACAAGCUUCCUAUCUAACAAGUAACUUUUUUUAAAAACUAGCAGCUUCAUGUACUAGAUUCCAUUAUGUUCAACCAACUAAUCAUAACUUAGUUGUAACCAGUUAAUUUUAUUUUCGUUAUCGUUACCCUUUAAGCACAUAGUAGUUCAUUAUAGCCAACACAUAGAUCAUAAAAGGAACCACCACACAUAUAUCAUUUGAAGCAAUUGGGACUCUUAUCCCUAAGUUUUAUAAUAAUGAAAAGAAUACAACUGUUAUAAGUACUUAUUCAGGGCUGUUGGCCCAUACCAUAUAAAGGCCUAUCAUUAACAUACUCGGGAGGACAUACGGUGAGAAUAACCUUUGUCAUCCAAUUGGGGGUAUUUAUAGUAAAACUAUUGCAAUGAUAGAUCCACUUAUAAAAUUGUGCCACUUCUUCUUUGAACUAAAUGAAAAUAGUUUGACUACAUCAAUUUUGAGAAGUUGUGUAACACUUAAAAUUUUAUGUAUAUCAAAGACUAAGAGCAACUAUCCUCUAUAGGAAUAAAUCCUAUAAGCAUGGAGGAAGUACAGAACUCAAGAGAUUGUUACAUCCUCCUAAGAAGAUGUUUCUGGAAAUGCUACAACAAAUAUAUGUAACUAGGUAACAAAUCAUUUUUGAACCAACGUGAAAAUUUUAAUGCAAAUAACAUAAAAGCCAACAUACCUUGUGGAGUGAGAUGAACGGAAAAAAUUAGCUCAAUCUAGUCAAACUUUUGGUAACUUAAGGUCCUUUCUGUAUGUUACAUGCUGACACAUUAACAACCACUAACCUUAAAAAUAGUUUAUAUAGCAUGAUCCGGUACAACUGGAAAUUGGAUUCUUAACUUUGCUCUAUCGCACGAAUAGGAUUAUGAAGGAAGGUAACAUUUCCUAAGUGUCCAAGAAGCCCCCUAGUUAUAAACAUGGCGCGCAACACAUUCAUAACUAAGGGUCUACUGAACACGACUUUGUAGACCCCCUAGGACGAACUAAUAUGAUACCACUUUGGUCAGCCCCCAACCCUAUGCUGAGAAAGUAAAAUACUAUGCAGCUUAAUGAUUAAGCUUCAUACACAACACAUUUUUACUAGCUGAACCGCUAUAUGUGACAAGUGAAACUAUGAAUAGAGAUGAUAACUUCACAAUGUCUACAAAGCGUCUAUUGGAAUACAUGAUUGUACCAAUAUGAAAAUACGCAUCCUAAGGACUCGGCAAAGCCCCGAAUCAAUCUGGAUCUCACCAGCAUGAAAUGCAGCGUCCCCAAUAAGGGACGUCACCACGAAAGUAUGUAUUGAAUAUGUAAGGCAUAAUAUAACCAUAUGUUACAUGAGAGAUCAAGUGAAAACAAAAUAUAAUAGAUAAGUAUUAGAGAUAACCUCUGCUUUGUACUUGUGGAAUCAUGCAUGUUACAUUCUUUUCUUUACUUUUCUGUACUUUAUAAUAUUUAUAGAACAUAUGAUACAAAGAACAGUUGAUCAGCGGUAGAAGAUCAUGACCCAUGCUAGACAUUUUAACCCCUGGGAUGUUGUCCUCAUAAUUCUAAAAAUUGGAAUCGGCCCAUGCUAGUCUUUCGCCCCUGAGCUACCACCAUUCCAUACCAAUUGGGAUCGGCCCAUGCUAGGCUUUUGCCCCGAAGCUGCCACCCUUCCAUACCAAUCGGGAUCGGCCAAUUCUAGGCUUUCUCCCCUGAGUAGGUGUAUCACCUACUUGCUCCUUUAUAAUUAAGUCCACUAAUUCUAAGUAGGUGCAUCACCUACUUGCUCCUUUUAACUUAAAAUUCAGUCUACUACUAAGUAGGUGCAUCACCUACUUUCCCUUUUUCACUUAAAAGGCAGUCCACUAAUUCUAAGUAGGUGAUCCCUACUUGUCACCUACUGGCAUAUUUUAGUCAAGCAAGCACCUUAAUUAUUUUGGACCAUUUUCCCCAUCAUCAAUUCUUUACAAGACUGUAGUACUAUAUACACACUUGACCAUUUUGACUUUUAUAUCGAAUACCACCUUUUACUAUCCCAAGUGUGAAUUUUUUUGUUCAAUUAUUCCUAUGUGUGUUGGAAGGAACGAUUUAUUACUACUUCAAACAUAUUCUAUUGUCACUAUUCACAUACGAAACAGAGUCCGUAACUAUACAACGUGGAAAUUUUUAAGCGACAUAUACAUAGGACUAGUUCACGUAGAAUAUCGGGUGUUACAUCCUUUCCUCCUUAUGAUCAUUUGUCCUCGAAUGAUGGGUGAAGCUUAUAGUUUGGUUAACCUAGGAAUUUCAUUUGGAGAUUUGUAAGUGUUGCCAUUAUAAAGACUAUGCACAAUCCAUAGACUAAUCAAAAACAUGUAUAGACAAGUCUAGAAUGAAGUUUCAAUACAUAUGUUUCAUAAAAUAAUAUAAUGACAAAUUAAACCCCUUUCUUGACCAUAUAAUUCACUGAUGAUUGUAACGGUCUGUAUUAUAUAUAUGCUAGUUCUAUUCUUGUUAUACUUUACAUAGACUUAUAGUGUAGGUGAGGGAUCAUGUUUUUUAUAUGAUAAGUAUUGUUUUAAUCUAGCAUGCAAGGUGAUCUAAUCUCUUUCAUGUUUCAGCAUGUGUAUUGCAAGUUAAAUCUGACGGAAAGUAUUUAAGUAAAUAUAGUAAGGUGGUACUUGAGCCUAAAGGUGAAAGUUAAGUGCUAGGUUUAAGAAAAGGGAUUAACAUUCAGAAAUUGAAAUAAAAUAUUUGAGCUUCUUGCUUGUCUUAAUUGAGCUAGCAGCUGCAUCACCUACUUGAGCUAUAAUGUAGUUAAAGGGCCCAAGUUUGAAUUUAGGCUUAUAUUAAUGGACUCACUUGAAGCCCAAACCUAUUGAAUUAAUAAAUAAAAAAAAGCCCAGCAGCCAAAUCUGCCAAUUAGCCCAUUAUGGAUAAAGCUCAAGUGAAACUAAGUAGGUGCAUCACUUACUAGGAAUUUUUUUACAAUGUAAUUGGCCCAAUGUGUAUCACUUACUUGCAUUAAUCUGUCCCAAGUUGAACAAAAGAACAUAGGGAAAAUGGACAGCCAAGGCCCAAUAAUAUAAAGUCCAAAAAGGCCCAAGUUAAAAGGCCAAGUAGGUGGGUCACCUACUUGACAAUAUAUGGCCCAAAAUUGGCCAAGAAAGUCGGCCAUAGAACCUCCCUUUCAAAGGAUAAAGAUCCAGUCAUUUUCUCCAUUUAAAACUUGCAAAAUUUUUAGUUUCCUUAAGUUUCUUUCUUGGUCUCUUGGCUUCAACAAUAGGCCCUAACACACCUUAGGGUUCUUGAGUAUUGUCUCAUUUUCAAGUAAAAGUUUGAAGGAGAGUCUGAAUUCUUGAAGUACAAGUUAAAAGUACAAAUUUCCAGAAUUAAGGCACAAGUACUCCACCUAGUAGACCUCCUUUGUUGGAGCACACAACAGUAAGCAACCUUUGGUGAGCUCCAGGUUGAUUCGGAGCUUUACUGAUUCCUUUGUAAAUUCGUUUUUGAUAUUGUAUCGUAGUUAAGGGUAAGGCGAGGUCUGUCCGGACCUACUCUGGGUAUUCUAUCUUCUUAGAGGCUUUGUAGACGUAUGUACAUAGUUGAGUUGUCUCUUAAGGAAUUGUGUCCUUAAUGACCAAGUCUUGUAUAUAACAUUUGAGUCUACAUAUGUUGGCUGGGAUCAUUGCGUCCUAUGUGAACUCAUCACGAUUGUUACAGUUAUAUGCAUAGUAAGAACAGAUUAAACAUGGAUCUCCCGGGCCUUUAAGGCAUCGGGGUCCUAUCCGUCUUAAUGAGAUUUGAGGCGUGAGAAAAGUGGUAUCAUAGCAGGAUAUCCUAGGGAGUCUAUGAAGUCGUGUCUGUGUAGAGUCUUGCUUAUGGAUGUGUCGUGCACCACAUCUAUAAACAUGUGGGACAUGUAGGAGUUGUCUCAUUUCUUUAACUUCUUAGAUCGUGCAAUAGAACCUAUGUUUUAGGUGAAUCAUAUCUAAUUUCUAAAUUGUUUUACUAUAGCAAAUAUGCCGGUUACGAGAAAUAGUAAAAGUAUUGGUAAGCGAGUAGAUGUGGCUGCCCAUAGAAGGGACUAGCCAACCACCACCAUGUCAAGUUGUUCAAAGUGGGGCUCAAGAUGAGUCUCUAUCACAGACUUCCCUGAUUUUUUCAUCUCCUGAACAACUAAGGAGGGAAGCUGAACCUCAUAAACCCCCUAUUAAUGCUACCGAGAAAGAUUUGAGGAAGGCAGUCUAACUAUUAACUCGUAUAAUUGCUAGUCAUGGACAAAGGCAACAAGGUCUUGCUGCAAGUACUCUUGGUGAUAGAGCAGCUGGAACGUGGAUACAUGAUUUUCUUAACUUGGACCCUCCAUAAUUAACCAGGUCAGAUCCUAAUGAAGAUCCGUAAAGACUUUAUAGAUCAGAUCAAAUGCACUUUGGAUAUUAUGCAUGUAAGUGGUAAAGAAGCACUUGAGAUAGCUACAGAGAUUAAAGGGUGUGUCUAUAUUGUGGUAUGAAGCUUGGAAGAAUCUAGGGGAACAAAUGCACCUUCAGCUACAUGGGAAGAGUUCAAAAAGGCAUUCCUUGAUCAUUAUCUGCAAUUGCAGAUUCGAGAGGCCUAUGUGGAUCAGUUCUUAAAUCUCCAUCAAGGAAAUAUGAGCGUAAGAUAGUAUAGUCUCAAAUUACUAAGUCUUUGGUUAAUAUAUUUUUGAUAUUGUAUCGUAGUUAAGGGUAAGGCGGGGUCUAUCCCAACCUACUCUAGGUCUUCUAUCUUCUUAGAGGAUUUGUAGACGAAUAUACAUAGUUCAGUUGUGUCUUAAGGAGUUCUUGCCUCAACAGCCAAGUCUUGUACAAAACUUUGAUUCUACUUAUGUUGGUUGGUAUCUCUGUGUCCUAUGUGAACUCGUCACAAUUGUUACAGUUAUAUGCAUAGUAAGAACAUGUUAAAAGUUGGUUCUAUAGGGCCUUUAGGGAAUCGGGUGCCUGUCCGUCUUAAUGGGAUUUGAAGCACGAUAAUUAUACACAAAUGGAACUCAUACAAAUGAAGAAUUCAAUACACCUACUAAGCUGAAGACAUGCAAAUGACAUAUCAAAUGAACAAAUGCUAGUAGGACUUACGAUCAUAUAAGGGGACCACAUGACCUUAGUCAUUAUAUUGAUGUUUUGAAUAAGGAGGGUUAUGUAGCAUCUCUACCAUCUUCUAUUGAUGUUUUGAAUGAGGAGGGUUACAGAGGAUCUCUACCAUCUUCUAUCCCCAAGUAUCUUAUGUCAUAUUCUUUUCCUUCCCCAAUACUUCAAUGGAGGUUACAUAUUUUGAGCUUAGCCUCUAGGCCUUAACAAUCAAGAAUAAGUAUAGUAUCUCCCAAUUUUUUUGUAUAUGGAAUGGACACAUAAAAUCAUGGGACUAACCUAUAGGGGAAGUAGUUUCCCUUAUCUUUAUCUCAUGAACAUUUUUUGAGGCUCAUCUUAUAAGAUCGCCUAGCUUUUAAUAUAAAAUCUUAAGUUUUAUGCCAUACCUUUGAAUAGGGCAUUAUAUGCCCAAUUUUCUUGUCAAAAUCUUCACAACAUAAUGUUAAAAGGAACUGUUUUGACGAAUUUUAUUCAGAUUUCAAAUCAGUAAGCACAAAGAGGCAUAGUAUGCAGAUGAAUAACUCACAUUGGACAUGACACAAUGGCAGAAGAGCCCAAAAGAGAGUGUACAAGGUAUACGGGCAUUAAUAUAUAGGAAUACAUGGUGUAUGUGUGUAUAUGAGCUGUAAGGUAGUGUGUGAGCGGAUAAACUCUAUGGAAUGUAAGGAUGGAUUAGAUGAUCACAUGAUGCAUGAGUACAUAAGGUAAUACAUGUAGACUAUAUUGAAUGUAAACAUACAAGAAAAUGAACUAUGGAACACAAAUCACAUUGAGCAA